AGGAUGAACGCUGGCGGCGUGCUUAACACAUGCAAGUCGAACGAUGAUCCCAGCUUGCUGGGGGAUUAGUGGCGAACGGGUGAGUAACACGUGAGUAACCUGCCCUUAACUCUGGGAUAAGCCUGGGAAACUGGGUCUAAUACCGGAUAUGACUCCUCAUCGCAUGGUGGGGGGUGGAAAGCUUUAUUGUGGUUUUGGAUGGACUCGCGGCCUAUCAGCUUGUUGGUGAGGUAAUGGCUCACCAAGGCGACGACGGGUACGCCGGCCUGAGGAGGGUGACCGGCCGACGACUGGGACUGAGACACGGCCCAGACUCCUACGGGAGGCAGCAGUGGGAAUAUUGCACAAUGGGCGAAAGCCUAGAUGCAGCGACGCCGCGUGAGGGAUCGGACGGCCGUUCGGUUGUAAACCUUCGUUUACAGGUAGGAAGAAGUACGGAAA
rnacentral:rRNA from 1 species